UGAGCCGUCACACGGAAUCG
rnacentral:snRNA from 1 species